AGAAAGCGUCGACACCCUUCAACCACCCACAACCAGACGCGAAACAGCAUGCACGGCGAAGAUUACGCGCAGAAAACCUUCGCGCCAGGCCUCGCGGGUGUGUGCAGAGUGAGAGUGUGGUGAGAAGAGAGGAAGGAGGCGAGACGGCGGCCUAGCUGCUUUUCGAAAAGCCUGCAGAGAAGAAAAACCGCAGCGAUUCCGUGCUCCUCUUUUUCGGCAACAAGAGCGUCAGAGGCUUCGCGUCGAGUUCGCUGCGAAAAGAAAAAAUCGGAAGCGUCGUGCCCAGCUUCGUGCGGUUCUCCAUCUGAGAAGCGCUUUGCAGAAAGAACGAGAAGAUACUGGGACCUGCAUGUCUGGACGCUCUGUAAAAAGGAGACAGAAGGAAUCCUCAAGUGUACAUGUUUUUCCCUUUUUUCCGGUCGUCGUCGCGCUAAAGGAUUUGGAGUACGAAGCAGCCGUGCCUUCUGCUGUGUUUCGCUUCAACUGAACACAGUGGCGGAGAACUCUCUCACGGGCGCAGGGAGAGAGAGGCGCGCGCGCAGUUCGGACGGCUCCCGAUCUCCAAUCGAAAGCAACAGGAAUUCCUUGUUGCCCAUGAUUCCUGUGUACAGAGUGCUUGGCAGAACAGUCUUUACCUGUUUCUGGAGCAAGAAACAACGUUUUCAAGCGACGCGGUAGUGUCCAGAGUGAGAGGGAGGCGGGGAGGAGGUAGCUGCUGCCAGCACUGUUCUCUCCACUGUCUGUUUCCCUUUUAGAUGCAGACAGAUAUCCAUCUCGAGACAUUGUACAUCUAAUCUUGCUAACCAC
rnacentral:lncRNA from 1 species